UAGGCUGAGGCGGCGGCGGCAGCAGCGGCGGCGGGCGGGGCUCGGCUCGGGCUCCGCGGGCGGGCGGGCGGACAUGGCGGCCAACAUGUACCGGGUCGGAGAUUACGUGUACUUUGAGAAUUCCUCCAGCAACCCGUACCUAAUCAGGAGGAUAGAAGAACUCAACAAGACUGCGACUGGCAAUGUGGAAGCAAAAGUAGUGUGCUUUUAUAGACGACGAGAUAUUUCCAACACGCUUAUAAUGCUUGCAGACAAGCAUGCUAAAGAAAUUGAGGAAGAAUCUGAAACAACUAUUGAGGCCGACUUGACUGAUAAACAGAAACAUCAGUUGAAACAUAGGGAACUCUUUUUGUCACGCCAAUAUGAAUCUCUGCCUGCAACACAUAUCAGGGGGAAAUGCAGUGUUGCCCUUCUGAAUGAGACAGAGUCAGUAUUGUCAUAUCUUGAUAAAGAGGAUACCUUUUUCUACUCGUUGGUCUAUGACCCCUCAGUGAAAACACUAUUAGCUGACAAAGGUGAAAUCAGAGUGGGACCUAGAUAUCAAGCAGACAUUCCAGAAAUGCUCUUAGAAGGAGAAUCAGAUGAGAGGGAACAGUCAAAAUUGGAAGUGAAAGUUUGGGACCCAAAUAGCCCACUUACAGAUCGACAGAUUGACCAGUUUUUAGUUGUAGCACGUGCUGUUGGGACAUUCGCUCGAGCCCUUGAUUGCAGCAGUUCGGUAAGGCAGCCUAGUUUGCAUAUGAGCGCAGCUGCGGCUUCUCGAGACAUCACCCUGUUUCAUGCUAUGGAUACAUUGUAUAGACACAGCUAUGACUUGAGCAGUGCAAUUAGUGUCUUAGUGCCACUUGGAGGACCUGUUUUAUGCAGAGAUGAAAUGGAAGAAUGGUCAGCCUCUGAAGCUAGUUUAUUUGAAGAGGCAUUGGAAAAAUAUGGCAAAGACUUCAACGAUAUACGUCAAGACUUUCUCCCUUGGAAAUCAUUGACUAGCAUCAUUGAAUAUUAUUACAUGUGGAAAACUACUGACAGAUACGUGCAGCAGAAACGUCUAAAAGCAGCAGAAGCUGAGAGUAAGCUGAAACAAGUGUAUAUCCCAACUUACAGCAAACCAAAUCCCAACCAAAUAUCCACCAGCAAUGGCAAACCUGGUGCUGUGAAUGGAGCCGUGGGGACCACGUUCCAGCCACAGAAUCCCCUUUUAGGGCGAGCCUGCGAGAGCUGCUAUGCUACACAGUCUCAUCAGUGGUAUUCUUGGGGCCCACCUAAUAUGCAGUGUCGAUUAUGUGCAACCUGUUGGCUCUAUUGGAAAAAAUAUGGUGGCCUGAAAAUGCCCACUCAGUCAGAAGAAGAGAAGUUAUCUCCCAGCCCCACUGCAGAGGACCCGCGCGUUAGAAGCCACGUGUCUCGCCAGGCCAUGCAGGGGAUGCCGGUCCGCAACACUGGGAGCCCCAAGUCUGCGGUGAAGACCCGCCAAGCUUUCUUCCUUCACACUACAUAUUUCACAAAAUUUGCUCGUCAGGUCUGCAAAAAUACCCUCCGGCUGCGGCAGGCAGCGAGACGGCCGUUUGUUCCUAUUAAUUAUGCUGCCAUUAGGGCAGAAUAUGCAGACAGACAUGCUGAACUAUCUGGAAGUCCACUGAAAAGCAAAAGCACUAGGAAACCUUUGGCAUGUAUCAUUGGGUAUUUAGAAAUCCAUCCUUCGAAGAAACCUAAUGUAAUUCGAUCUACACCAAGCCUGCAAACCCCAACUACCAAGCGGAUGCUAACCACCCCGAAUCACACGUCUCUGAGCAUUUUGGGGAAAAGAAACUACAGUCAUCACAAUGGCCUGGACGAAAGGCUCAUGAAGUGAAGGCGCAGCUCUGCUCCAUCCUGCAGACCUUCCUCAGGAUGGCGGGAGGCUGUGAAGAACUCACAUGCUGCGUGUCAGACUGAGCUAUUCCUGUUUCAUCCUAUAAUCCAAGACUUGCUACACUGUCCCGCUGAUGUUCACGGCUGUGCCUGGCGAGGGGGCAGCCCCAUUCCCAGGACAUUUCGGCGGGAGAUCUCCAUGUGUGCCCAGCGGAGACUUGAUGGGGCAGGGGAAGAAACUGUAGGAGUGCACGUCCCGAAAGCAGAGUCUCCAUGUGUGGAUCAGUGUCACCUCGCUCUCCUCCCAGAGACCUGGCUGUCCCAGCAGGACCUGCCUAAGAAUUCAGGGGACGAGGGAGUCACUCUGCCUCGCCUCCGCCCUUCUCCAGCACGCCGCACCCUGGGCACAGCGGCUCCUGGGGCAGCGGGGCAGCCGGGAGCUCAGAGCCGCUGCUGCCCUGCAUGCGUCCGCCCAGCUCUGUUGUAGGCUGUGUGGUUGUGUACAGGGGGGACCUGGCAUCUCGCUGAAUGCAUUUUCCCUAACAAAUGUGCCAGUGUUGAUGCAGUUCACAAUAUUCCCCCACAUCCUUGCUGUUACUGUCACUGGCUUUUUCUCAAUAGGCUUCAUGGUGUUUUUUUUUUCACUGGGGAAAUUUUCUUCUUCAUCCCCUGCACCCCCUGUUUGACCCGACCCUCCCCUACCCCUCCAAGGUACAGAAUUACCUGAGAUUCUGACAAAAGAUAAGAACACCAUCAUUGGUAAGCCUGCGAACUCCACAUCAUCUGUAUUUUGUCAUUGAAGAGAGGCUGGUGUUCUGCUUGGUUCUGCUUGGUCCCAGACAGCUCCCACAGGAGCCAGUGUUUAAACUGGGCCACGCGUGGGUAUCACUGUGACAAGCCACUUGCAUACUGUCCUGUUCCCUUCCAGCCAGAUCAGCCAAUGAGUAACUGCAGCCAGGUUGGUCCUUCAGCAAAUCACCCAUCACCAGGUUUCCUUUAAGCAGAUGGAAUCUGUUUGGACUAGGAGGGUGAAGUGACAGAGCGAUGUUGGCAGGUGAGUCUGUGAAUAGGACACCAGGAACCCUUCUGGCCCAAAGGCUUCUGUGAGCACAUGUGUCUAGGCCCUGGGAGACCUGCCUGCAACCCCGUUUCCAUUGGCUUGGGCUCUUCCUGUCUGCUCUCAGCACCAGCCCUUGCUGGCAUCACAUACUGGCUGCUGUGCAGCUCUGUGCACCCAGCUGCAGGGAUAAGAAUAACUUAGUGCCCCAUUGGCUCCCUGAGCAGAUAUGAGUCUGGCCACUCCCCUGCCCUCCAGGCUGCAGGGCACAGGGUCACAGCACCGUGAAAGACAACUGGAGUUUGGUUGGCCUCCCAGCCGUCCCGGGGGUCUGCAGCUGGGAUGCAGCUGGAUGGCGGAUAGUAGGUGCCCCAAAUAGCCAGGUGGUUGCAGAACAGAGUGGCUACAAUUGAGUUGACCCCUCCCCGCCCUGCACCCUCCCCCUCCUGUCCCCAGGCAGCGUGAGUUAUCGCUGAAAUGAUGAUGACACUCUAGAUGUCUGCAUCCUCAGAGCUGGGUUCAGCUUAGCAGAGAAUGUGAUGUGUGCUGGCUGGAGGCGGUGCUUGGAGCUUGAGCUGCCUUUUCCUUUUCUAGUUUUGCACCCUUUGUGGCUUCUCUUCUGAGGAGGAGUUGGUUCUCAUCUUAGGCUUUUGCGGGGGUGACCUAGGGGUGUUCUCACCACUGCCAACUUGUGGAGCUAUUCUGGGUCUUGGCUUGGGGCCCCGAGGCUGGGCCUGUGUCAGAGAUGCUCAGUGAGCCGGCUGCAGGGGGCAGGCGUUGUCCUCAGGCUUCCCCACAAAGAAGCCCCUUCAGAAAAGACCCAGGGAGAAGAGGCAACUGGCUGUCAGCAUUAACCAGCACGUGCUGUGUUCUCCUCUAAAGGAACAGACGUGCGAAAGCUGUCUCUCUGUGCCCCUGUCCUGGGUUUAUUGUCGCACAUGGAUGUAGAAGGUGGAAUGGUUCCCUCUUUCACAUUCCUCUCCUAACCCACGUGAAAUAGUGACUGUUGAUUAGAGAAACAAUUAGCUGACCGUGACUCUUCUGCCAAAUUCAUUCUCUCUGCCUGUUGGAAGAGUCCCUCCUUACCCAGGCCCAGGAGAAUUGGAGACGGAGGCCAGGCCAGGUCUGAAGGAAGAACAGGGAGGCCCACCCCAGUUCCAGGUCACAUUUAGCUUUGGGACAAGUGCAGCUCAUUUUGAGCCGCAUGUACCAAGAAAGCUCUUCCUCCACCUUGUUGUAAGAGCUGGUUCUACAGCCCCAUCCUCCUACAAAGAGGAUGGUGACUAAGACGUCCUGCUCUCACUGCGCCUCUGGAAAGUCUCCCAUUAUUGUGAGUGAGCAACCCAGGGAAUGGAGGAAGGACGCCAAGGAGCCUCUAACAUUUGUCUUUGCCAUUCGGGGCCCUUGAUGCUGAGAGGGUCUCCCAGCCACCCCCUUCCUGGGGCCACAGCGUCGCAUUGUGUACAUGUCACCGUUGCGCAGUGUGCUUGUGGGUUGGACAUAGAGUGUGUGUGCAUGGUGCACAGCUGUGCUGAGCCUGCUCAGUGCUCCCUUGGGUGAGAACCCAGAAGCUUGGCAAGUCAGCUUCCCUUUCCUUCGCCAUCGUCGCCCUCCCUCCCCCACCCCCGAUUUCUGAGAGGAGGUUUUUGAGAUUGGUUGUUCUGGCACACUUCUCAAGUCCACCUUGCCCACCAUCCAGUUCCUGUCAGUCAGCAACCAACCAAGACAACAGAAGCCACUCUAAGGAUUAAAACCCCUCAAAGAGGGGGGUUUAAAUCCAGGUCAUUGUUGAGCACAGUAACAAGAAAAGCUGAGAGGCCAAAUGGGGGAGAGGGGGCAACCCGGAGAUGGGAAUGACAGCAGGAAGGCUGGUGGGAAACGGGAAGAGCCGUGGUGUGUGACUAGAGCCUGGGGCGCAGGGACCCUGGGAGGAACCUGGUACCACAGAGGGCCGAUCUGCUGGGAGCUGCGGCCAUGAGGAUGCCUGGUCCCUGCCAGAAACAAUCCCCCAGGCAGAGGGGCAGAAAUGGCCUGGCUCCCCCUACCUGUGCCUUCCAGGGUUUUGCACGUGCCUCUUGUUGGGAGCCCCUGACUUGGGGGCCUGGGACAGGCAACCUGCAGCCGUCAGCCCCCCACCACUAAGAGCAGAGCAGAGGAGGACGAGAAGCAGGUCAGAGGGCAGGCAGGCCGGGGCGCGCGUGGAGCCUGAUGUUUCUGCCCCACGCUGUCCUAAGCCCCCAGUGAGGGGAGCCUGAGGAGCUGCCCCCUGGGCUUUUGUAGAUUCUUUCACUCUGCCUAGAGAGGAAAGUACUUUUGGGAGGGAGGGAGAAAGCCUUUAUUCUUAACAGUUGCCCCUGUUUUCCUUUGGGGGAAUUUACCCGUUUAGCAACCCCACCUCACCAUGCCCCUCAGGAAAGCCAUGUCCCAGUUUUCUGUCCACCCCUGCCCAAGCCUGUCCCCCCAGUCUCUGAUUUCCCUGCCAGAGAACACUGACCCAGACCAUGCAUCCGUGGUCGUGAGUGUUUCCCCAGGAUAAUUCAUUCACAGCGUGAUAUUACAGUGUUGACCGUCUGUCUGUAAGUAGAUGCCAUCUACUAAUCAAUUUGUAUCGUGUUUCCAAUAAAUUUCUGGAAAUCGUGCCUGGUUUUAUGCUGUCCUUUGCUGGGACAGUGGCUCAGCUGUGAGGCUCGUUGCUCCCCACCCCCUCCCCAGCCCUCAGCAACAGGUGCUGCCGUCUCAGGUGCGGCAUCACACUGCAUAGCUCUGAGGGUCUUGAGGAGUCAUAGGCCAGGCCAGUUAGUCUGAUGUCCCUCCGGCCACGCUGAGACUCUCAGAGGUCUUUCCCCAGUGUCUGC